GCAACUGUUUACCAAAAACACAGGUUUGUGCUAAAUCGAAAGAUGACGUAUACGAGCUGACGCCUGCCCGGUGCUGGAAGGUUAAGAGGAGAUGUGCAAGCAUUGAAUUGAAGCCCCAGUGAACGGCGGCCGUAACUAUAACGGUCCUAAGGUAGCGAAAUUCCUUGUCAGGUAAGUUCUGACCCGCACGAAAGGCGUAAUGAUUUGGGCACUGUCUCAACAGCCCGCCCGGCGAAAUUGUAGUACCGGUGAAGAUGCCGGUUACCCGCGACAAGACGGAAAGACCCCAUGGAGCUUUACUGUAGCCUAAUAUUGGGUUUCGAUGUUGCAUGCACAGGAUAGAUGGGACACAGGGAAACAAGUGCUUUGGCAUUUGUGGAGUGGCCGUUGGGAUACCAUCCUUGCGAUAUUGGAAUUCUAACCUGCGCCUUUGAAUCAAGGCGGGGGACAUUGUUAGGUGGGCAGUUUGACUGGGGCGGUCGCCUCCUAAAGAGUAACGGAGGCGUUCAAAGGUUCGCUCAGCUUGAACGGAAAUCAAGCAAAAGAGUGCAAACGCAGAAGCGAGCCUAACUGCGAGACUGACGGGUCGAGCAGUAACGAAAGUUGGAGUUAGUGAUCCGGUGGUAUGUGAGUGGAAAUGCCAUCGCUCAACGGAUAAAAGUUACCCUGGGGAUAACAGGCUGAUCUCCCCCAAGAGUCCACAUCGACGGGGAGGUUUGGCACCUCGAUGUCGGCUCAUCGCAUCCUGGGGCUGUAGUCGGUCCCAAGGGUUGGGCUGUUCGCCCAUUAAAGCGGUACGCGAGCUGGGUUCAGAACGUCGUGAGACAGUUCGGUCCCUAUCUGUCGUGGGCGCAGGAUAUUUGAUGGGAGCUGUUCCUAGUACGAGAGGACCGGAGCGGACGUACCUCUGGCGCACCAGUUGUUCUGCCAAGGGCAUAGCUGGGCAACUAUGUACGGAUCGGAUAAACGCUGAAAGCAUCUAAGCGUGAAGCCGACCCAAAGAUAAGAUAUCCCAUUGUUUCAAACAAGUAAGACCCCUUGAAGACUACAAGGUUGAUAGGCACGAUGUGUAAGUGGAGUGAUCCAUUCAGCAAGCGUGUACUAAUAGGUCGAGGGCUUGACCAC
rnacentral:rRNA from 1 species